UAGAUAGAAAAAUGAUUUUUACUCAAGCAUGCUUUUAGCGCUUUUAGAUUUCAGGGUUGUUACACAAUACACUGGCAUUGUUGUUUUAAUUUUCUGCAUUGGGAAACAUUCGCUUUCACAUUGCCACGACCACAUCCAUCACGGGUGCCGAAUAUGGGUAAAUAGAAGGGUAGGUCUCUACUUUAGAUCUACCUAUCAAUAGUUGGCUUAAAAGAUGCUUUGGCCAAAGCUUAUGAAAUCAUCUUGUGAAUGAUUGUGUUUCUUUUACUCUGUGCCAUAUCAUGAUGUUCGAUGCAUAUUUUUUUCUCUCUGUGUGAAUUAGUUUGUUAAAUGCAUCAUGCUGCAUCAGAUUCCAUAUCACUUGCCGGUUCUAGAUUGCUAGGUACUUCGUAUAGGGUCGGGUAUUCUUCUAGUUGAGAAGAAUUCUGGGGAAAGUUAUGCUUCGUGGUUGGACGGAAACAAUGAUUGAAUCGUGUUCUCAGCUCACAGGUUGCAGGUGAAGGAGGGUUUGUGGCAGCUAGAGACCUUAGAACCAUUUUGUAACAAUUAUAUUUAUUUGAUGUGAUAAGAUGGGCUUGAUGCCUAGGUCACAUGUUAGAUAGUGACAAGAUGGGCAUGAUGCCUAGGUCAUGAUAAAAUAUUGAAGUGAGAACUUUGAAAACCCAAUUAUUGUAAUAUCCUUAUGAAAAGAUGAGCUAUGCAAAUAUAUGGAGAUUUCCAUCUUUUAUGUUG